AUUGAACGCUGGCGGCAGGCCUAACACAUGCAAGUCGAACGGUAACAGGAAGCAGCUUGCUGCUUUGCUGACGAGUGGCGGACGGGUGAGUAAUGUCUGGGAAACUGCCUGAUGGAGGGGGAUAACUACUGGAAACGGUAGCUAAUACCGCAUAACGUCGCAAGACCAAAGAGGGGGACCUUCGGGCCUCUUGCCAUCGGAUGUGCCCAGAUGGGAUUAGCUAGUAGGUGGGGUAACGGCUCACCUAGGCGACGAUCCCUAGCUGGUCUGAGAGGAUGACCAGCCACACUGGCACUGAGACACGGUCCAGACUCCUACGGGAGGCAGCAGUGGGGAAUAUUGCACAAUGGGCGCAAGCCUGAUGCAGCCAUGCCGCGUGUAUGAAGAAGGCCUUCGGGUUGUAAAGUACUUUCAGCGGGGAGGAAGGGAGUAAAGUUAAUACCUUUGCUCAUUGACGUUACCCGCAGAAGAAGCACCGGCUAACUCCGUG
rnacentral:rRNA from 1 species